AUCUCUUGGCAUGCGUAGUGGAUGCAUAUUCUUAUCUAACCUUCUCACUCAAACCUCUUCUAUCUCAUUGUCUCUACCUCUCUUUUCUCCCCUUUAAUACCUUUUUCUCUCACUUUCUCUUCCUUGCAUCUCUACCUUCCUCUUACCACAAGGUAAACAAAGAUGGCAGGGUAUGAUAAGGAAGACUAUUUCUCUGCCCCGAAUGCCGAGACAACAUGCGCGGGAAAGUACGGUACGCUUGCCCCAAAGAAGAAGCCUCUGAUAUCGAAAAAUAAUGAAAGAGCAUUCUUUGAUUCAGCAGACUGGGCAUUAUGCAAGUCUCAACAGCAAGGUGCUGGAGUGAAUCAACAAUCUACAACAGCUGUGGAGACAUUGCGACCAAAACUACAGAGAACUCCACAUCAGCAGCUUCCUCCAAGACGACCUGCAUGCACAUCUGGUUGAGAUAAUUUCGUGAAUUACUCUAAUGUGGAGAGUAGACUUAAUAAGUGGAACAAGGAUUUGCUCAGUCAAUUUUACUAUUACAAAACACAUGAUGUUCCUGAUCUGAUAUAUAUAUAUUUACUUCAUGCUUUCUAUUAUUAGCACUUCAAUAAAAAUUUCAUUUCAUUUCACUUUUGUUUCUUCUAUUCUAUCUGUUGGAUAUAUGGGCCUAACAACAGUGGAAGAUGGGACGUGAAGGGUCAAAUUAA